rnacentral:rRNA from 1 species
UACGGGGGGGGCAAGCGUUGUUCGGAAUUACUGGGCGUAAAGGGCUCGUAGGCGGCCAACUAAGUCGGAUGUGAAAUCCCCAGGCUCAACCUGGGAACUGCAUCCGAUACUGGAUGGCUUGAAUCCGGGAGAGGGAUGCAGAAUUCCAGGUGUAGCGGUGAAAUGCGUAGAUAUCUGGAGGAAUACCGGUGGCGAAGGCGGCAUCCUGGACCGGUAUUGACGCUGAGGCGCGAAAGCCAGGGGAGCAAACGGG